AAUGAACGUUGGCGGCGUGGAUUAGGCAUGCAAGUCGAGCGAGAAACCAAUUAGCUUGCUAUGAGGUGGACAGCGGCGAAAGGGAGAGUAACGCGUGGUUACGUGCCCUCGGGACCGGGAUAGUGUCGGGAAACUGGCAGUAAUACCGGAUGAUAUCUUCGGAUCAAAUGGUGAGAUUCCGCCCGAGGAUCGGACCGCGUACUAUUAGCUUGUUGGCGGGGUAAUGGCCCACCAAGGCUGAGAUGGUUACCGGGUGUGAGAGCAUGGCCCGGCUCACUGGGACUGAGACACUGCCCAGACAUCUACGGAUGGCUGCAGUCGAGAAUCUUCGGCAAUGGACGAAAGUCUGACCGAGCGACGCCGCGUGCGGGAUGAAGGCCCUCGGGUUGUAAACCGCUGUCAGUUGGGAGGAAAUCCAUGGGGGUUCUCCCCUGUGGUUGACCGAGCUUCAGAGGAAGGACGGGCUAAGUUCGUG
rnacentral:rRNA from 1 species